rnacentral:rRNA from 1 species
UCAGACGAUGCGUCAUGCAUAUCAAUAAGCGGAGGAAAAGAAACUAACAAGGAUUCCCUUAGUAACGGCGAGUGAAGCGGGAAGAGCUCAAAUUUGAAAUCUUCAAGGUUUUACCUUGACGAAUUGUAGUUUAAAGAAGUGUUUUCUGUUGAAGUUUUGGUAAAAGUUCUUUGGAAUAGGACAUCAUAGAGGGUGAGAAUCCCGUAUUUGACCAUUAUUUUCAGCUGUGUGAUACACUUUCAAAGAGUCGGAUUGUUUGGGAAUGCAGUCCAAAAUGGGUGGUAAAUUUCAUCUAAAGCUAAAUAUUGGCGAGAGACCGAUAGCGAACAAGUACCGUGAGGGAAAGAUGAAAAGAACUUUGAAAAGAGAGUUAAACAGUACGUGAAAUUGUCAAAAGGGAAGCGUUUGACACCAGUGUUGUUUUCCUCGAAAAUCAAUUAAAAAGAGUUAGAUUUUGUUGUGUAUUGACCUUAACAGCUUGCAUUUCAAUUUUCUUGCUUUUUUUAAUGCACUUUUCGUUUAACAAGUCAACAUCAGUUUCUUUUGUUGUAAAAAGGGUCAUUGGAAGGUGGCUUUCUUUUCGGAGAAAGUGUUUAUAGCCUUUGACUCCUGCAAUCGGAGAGACUGAGGUCUGCAGCGUAGAUCCUUCGGGGUUAGAUACAUUUGUGCUAAGUUAUAGCUUUUUAUAGACAACUUGUUGACUAUGAUUAGUCUUGUAGCUUACUCGCUUAUGCUAUUUUACCUACGCUUAGGAUGUUGAGUCGUAGAGCACGCAG